rnacentral:tRNA from 1 species
GCGCCCAUAGCUCAAUUGGAUAGAGUAACGGUCUACGAAACCGCAGGUUGCCCGUUCGAAUCGGGCUGGGCGCA